AGACCAGUAGCGGAGUGGUCAAACGCGCGAGAUUUAAGACUUUCUUUAUGCGUUUUUCAACCAGAUACUCCACGCGCUUCGAGACGCGUGCCUAUUGAAUGCGUGCUGAUUCCUCGUCCUUCGGGUUCGUGGGUUCGAACCCCACCUGGUCUA